AGAAGCAGACACAGGUGGCGCUUGGUAGGGUGAGCGGCUGGCUGGAGUGUUUUGGCCCUGGUCAGUCUUGCCCUACACACUCUGGUAAUAAGUGUUUUCGUAUUCCCGGCAGCUUCUCCCUGUACCAAGCACCGCCACGCAGCACCAGAGAGCCAUGAGUACGUAAGGUACAUGUGUCUGGCGUUCAAGGACAGCGCAGCAGCAGAGGAGGCAGUGAGGCAGAGGAACAAUUACAAGCUAGACAAGCAGCACACGUUUCUCUGUAAUCUCUUCACGGACUUUGAGAAAUACGACAACAUACAUGAGGAGUUUGUCGCACCUGUCCCUGAGCCUUAUAAGGUGUGUGUGUGUGUGUGUGUGUGUGUGUGUGUGUGUGUGUGUGUGUGUGUGUGUGUGUGUGUGUGUGUGUGUGAGGGGCAGGUUUGUGUGUUUGUGAGGGAGAUAGAUGGGAAAGGAAAGAGAGAGAGAGAGAGAGAGAGAGAGAGAGAGAUGAGAAUAGAAAGAGAAAGAGAUGAGAAUAGAAAGAGAAAGAGAUGAGAAUAGAAAGAGAAAGAGAUGAAAAGAGAAAGAGAGAGAGAGAGAGAGAGAGAGAGAGUGUGUGUGCCCCUCCUUCCCCUUUUCUGUGAUGCCCCUACCUUCCCUAAGCGGGUUUAAAUUGAAACAGUAAUAAUAAUAAUAAAUAAAUAAAUAAACAUAAUAGAUGAUGAAGUGAAAACACGAAAAUACAACACAUUUUUUACUAUAAACCUUUACAGCACGAUUUAAUAAUGAAGAAAAUGAAAGAAAAAAAAACUUGUGAUUUUAUUUUUAUUUCGGUACUUUCUCGGCAGCUGAACGUUUAUCUAAGAGUGUUUUGUACUUCUCGAAAUGAAUAAAAUAAAUGAAAAAUAUCUCGUUAUAUUAUCAGCGUCUCUUGUAUUUCUAUUUUAAUAAAUUUUUUCGGUAUUUAAAAA